AUCAUCUGGGAUUUUCACACAGCCAAGGAUGGACAGGCCUUGCUCACCAAUGCCUGAGAUCCUCCAUUAGUGUCAGGACUUUUCACAUCACUGGAAGCAAAGGCUUUGCCCCCACUGGCAGUGGGCAGAGGUCAAGGCAAAAAGGUUGGUGGAAAAGAGCCUUUGACAUGAGCCUUUCUUCCUGCACUAAGGCCUGAGAGCGGGGUGGACUAUUUUGAAAGCGAAGUACAAAGAAAUGGCCGUGUAAUUCAGAAGUUGACACUGAGUUCAAGGCAACCACUUUCCAAACUACCCUCCCUGGCUGCUUCUUGAAGUUGUGGGUCUGUUCUGGCCAGUGACUUUUGAUGAGAAAGUCUCUGAAUACGAUUUUCUCUCCUUAAGGUAUGUUUACAAAAGGGCAUCCACUGUUGUCUUCUAAUAUCGUUCAAGCAUAGUGAGAGGCUUCCCUGCCAGCCAUUGUGUGAUGGUGACAGUAAAAAACCAAGACCUCCAGGGGUGGGAGAGGAAAGCAGCUGGUUUUCUCAUAAUAUAUGUGCCCGGGUAACUCUGAGAGAUCAUACGUGCUAAACAUCUUCUCGUUUGUUUGUGUUUUUAAAAUAUGUACGAGGGAUUUGUCUACAAGUAUGUCUGUGUACCAUGUGCAUGCCUGGUGCCUUCAACAGCCAGAGAAGAGCUUAGAUCCCCUAGAACUGGAGUCACAGAUUGUUCGGAGCUGCGAUGUGGGUGGUGGGACUCGGCCCAGGUUCUCUGGAAGAGCAGCCAGUGCUCUCAGCCACGGAGGCAUCUACUCAUCGCCUGCAUCUGUAUUGAAGAGAAAAUGGAGCCAUGAAACUGCUUGGAUGUGACCGUGUAACUCACAGAGGCAAACCCCCUCAAGGGGCUGAUCAUGGGAUAUAUUCCUGAUGUCCUUUGUCGUCUUCAUGAUCUUGUGGAAAGAAUGAGCCUCCAACCUUAUUUUGCUUGACAAAUUAAACUCACUGGAAUAGGGCUAUUUGUCUUGGACUAGUUUUCAAGGAAGAGAUCCUAUGAGCUCAUGGAUUGGGGAGAUGACUCAGUGACUAACAGUCCUUGUGGCGCUAGCUGACUUGAGGGGAUGCCAGGACACACCUGAGAAGAUGGACAUGCAGGAGGGUUGCUGUGGCUCCGUGGCUUCCAGACUCGUGGAAACAAACAUAAACCUCAGGGUGAGGAGGACGCUGCCUUACAAGUAACAGGCUGAGUCCAGAGAGAUGGCUCAGCAGAUAGAGGUGCUGGGAAUGGUAAUAUACACAAUGCCUCAGCCUUCAGAUGGAGGUGAAGGCUAGUGCCAUGCACUGUCCUCUCUGUGUCAUGUGGUCAUGAUCACCAACACCCAGGCACCUGUGUUGUGUACUUUUGGAACCAGGAUGAGAAAUGAAGCUGAAUGUACUUACCCACUGGAAUUUCUACACACACUGUAGGGAUGGUCUGUCUCUUUCCUAAAUUCCCUCUCACGGCAAGGAUCAGCUAGUCUCCUCUGCACCUUCUUCACGGAGGCUGUGCAGAAUGAAGAGUUCUGCUCUUGGGAAUCCAUCCUUCAGGGAGCUUCUGGAAGGAGCACUGUUGGUUGCCACAUCCUCUGGAAGAUAUGACUGCUUUUUUCCCUUUUGAAGACGACUGAGAUUCAGCUAUGGGAAGUCUGUCCCUGCCGUCGGUAUUUCAGCGGCAUCACGGUGGAAUCGUGUGACUGAGAGAAGCCACCAUUUACACUGUCUACACCUACUAGGGUUGCCACGGUGGGAUGGAGACGCACCCGAUGAAGGUGACUCUGCUCAGAGGCCCGGGAUGAGGGCGUUAGAACUAGAGUCGAGCCUGUAAAUGACUGACUGGGCAGUUUACAAAUGGUUGGUACAUCUGACAACAGUCACUGAGUCCACACAAGGAAAAGCUCUGAAGCCGCGGCUGGCCUCUGUGGUGGCUCCCUGCGGGCUAGCCACGUACACUGCCUGCAAAGGGGCUUUGACCUUUCCUGCGUCAUUCAAGCUGUUCACUCUAAAGCGAAAGACCUGAAAUUGAAGGGCUGAAGCGCCUCCAUGCUGAACUUUGACACCCAGAGUGCAGCAUGCUGGGAAGAAAGACAAAGGACAUCGUUAUCGUUAUCAGCAGUGAGGAAGCUGGUGCCUCUUGGCCUCCUCACCAUGGCUGAUAAAGCCUCCCUCCGUCAGGGAAUUGAAAGCCCAGUCAAUACCUCUGAUUUGCAUGUGGAAUAUUGGCAAAAGCCUGAAGCUUCAGCUUGGAUCUGAUUCUUCAUGAACGUUUAGAGGAAUAAAGAUUUUAUGUCUAAUAAAUUGCUAAAAAAUAUUUAGUUCUGGUCCUACACAUUGCUGCAAUUGGCAAGGGAUGAUGUGUAACGAGGGUACCAGGGACAGGUUUUGAAGGACUGUGCCGCAGAGAGCGUGGUGUGUGUUUGAUGAGAGACUCUGAAAGCCAGGGGGGUUGGAAUCAGGGACUACUGGGAUGUGGGGCCAGGAAAUGUUUUGAAGUGAGGAAAAUCUCUGGAGACUUCCUGAUACCAUCUUACAGAAACAGAGAG
rnacentral:lncRNA from 1 species